rnacentral:rRNA from 1 species
UACGGAGGGUGCAAGCGUUAAUCGGAAUUACUGGGCGUAAAGCGCGCGUAGGCGGCUGGGUAAGUCGAUUUGUGAAAUCCCCGGGCUCAACCUGGGAAUUGCAGUCGAGACUGCCCGGCUAGAGUGUGGGAGAGGGUGGUGGAAUUCCCGGUGUAGCGGUGAAAUGCGUAGAUAUCGGGAGGAACAUCAGUGGCGAAGGCGACCGCCUGGCCCAACACUGACGCUGAGGUGCGAAAGCGUGGGUAGCAAACAGG